rnacentral:misc_RNA from 1 species
CUUCGGUUUAAGAGAACCACUCUGAGAUCGUGUAACAAUGUGGUGAGUUCUAACUUCUAACAAUUUGUAAUGGAGAUGCUGGCCAAGAUGGACUAUCAGGUUGUGAUGGCUGAAAAGGAGCAGGAGAGAUAGAAUCAAGCACUAAGGAUAAGCCUUGGUUAUUAGUUGAUGGUGUUAUCGAUGUACGACUCCUAGAGAAAAGG